UAUAACAUUUGAAUGUAUACUUCCAAUUCCGAUCUAGUUAGGAAAAACUAUCAAAAAAAUCAUGUUCAAAGCAAAGAAGUCUAAUAUGGUUUGCAAUAACUUCUCACUCUUAAAGUUCGACAACUCAAACUAUAACUUUUAAAAGAAAGUUCGAUGCAGUGAUGCAAACAUAUACAUAUUUGGGUGUUGACAUUGUUUUUUUUUGUAUUCUACAAGAGGUAAAUUUUGAAAGGAUUAUUAAGUUAUUUAAAAAAAAAAGAUGGACAUGUUUAAAUGGUAAAUUAAGAAACAUUAAUAAUUCAAAAAUUUUUAAAAUUGUAAAAGGCUCGAAAUUUAGGCAAUUGUUUUCUUAUGGCAAUAAUGGCUUUAUUUUUUUGUUACGUUUGAAUAUAGCUUGCACCCCUGUGCAGUGUCGGAGUCAAGGUACCUUUAGGUACAGGUACAACAAUCUAAGCAGUCAGUGGAUGCGGGGAGUGGUAAACAGCGAGGGGAGGAAAAUGACAGCUGGUGAGUCGGCGAGCUGGCGAGUUUGUUAAUACAAUUUUCCCCUCCAUAGGUUGCUAUCGUCUCCAUAGUGCCGUAAUGUUUAUUAUUACGUGUUGAAAAUUCAAAAGGAACAUUUUCUGCAGAUACCAACGACAGUUUCAGAGUACAGAUGCUGUGAUUCCACCACGCGAGAAAUAUAUUGGAAAUAAAACAAAUUCCUAAUGUGAGGAUAACACAGACGAUUGCGUAGCGCAGCUCAUGAUUCGUUCGGCUCAAAAAGGACAAUUUCAAUUACGGAGGAUAUUCUGUACCUACUACAGAAAACCAAAUAAAUUCAUCAAUUUCAGAUGCUUCUUCACAACGUGCGUUUUGAAGAUGGGAAUUGGAGCAAAACAAGUAUUUUCUAUUAUGGAGAGUUGUGCUAUUCCCGUGUAGUUCCAGUGAUACAGUGACACAAUUCAUAAUGUGUCGAAAGUGUAUGAAUAAAAACUUUAUGCUAGAAAAGAAACUUAAAGUUACCAGAAUUGUUUGAAUGAGCACACCUUCAUUAUAUUUUUAUUCAAAAGCCAGAGGUUGAGGAAAAAUCCUUAUUCUCUUUAUGUCGACGAUAGAUAGCUGAAAAAAUGACGAAUGCGAUUUUCAUUUAUGUUUCCUGUGACUUUUUCCAACCUUAUUCUCAUGUUGUCAUCAUAAUGAAUUAUUUCUUUUGAUUUUAAUAUUAAUCAAAAUUUUACACAUGGUUGUUGAUUGACGUUCACGAAACAAAAUAAAAAUUGAGGGGAAAAAGUUGCUAGGAUCUCAAGGCUUGCUGACCUGAUGGAGCAACACAAACUUGCCAGCUGUCAAAUAUUUUUCCAAUAUGGCGGAAUGCUCUAAAUGACAGAUUACAUUACCUCCCUUAUAAAUACCUUGGUCGGAGUAAUUUGUGUUGAUGUCUAUUGUUCGUAAUUUAUGUUUCUCUGUCAUGCCCCGUUCUGUCAACCAAGUCUCAUGAGAGAAUUAGUGAAAGCAAGAGACAUAACGGGCGCAUGGAAUUGGUUCUGUUCCAAUGUGGAGAAAUCACCGUAACUGUAAGUGUUUUGUACGUUUUAUUUAUAUUAAAAUGCUCAAUAAUGAAUUUAAUAGCUUUGUAGCAUGCGGCAAAUCAGCUUUUUAUAUGCCCUGCUGAAAGAUCGGUGCCCAAAUCAAUCCUGUUUUAAAUAUGUUUUUUCUUAUUGAUAUUGGAUAGAUUCCCGAUUUUUUUUUAGUCAAUUUAUAAAUAAAAAAUAACUUAUAAUAGCUCCAUUUAUU